rnacentral:rRNA from 1 species
AACGAACGCUGGCGGCAUGCCUAACACAUGCCAGUCGAACGAGUCCUUCGGGUCUAGUGGCGCACGGGUGCGCAACGCGUGGGAACCUGCCCUUAGGUUCGGAAUAACUCCCCGAAAGGGGUGCUAAUACCGGAUAAUGUCUUCGGACCAAAGAUUUAUCGCCUUUGGAUGGGCCCGCGUUGGAUUAGCUAGUUGGUAGGGUAAAAGCCUACCAAGGCGACGAUCCAUAGCUGGUCUGAGAGGAUGAUCAGCCACACUGGGACUGAGACACGGCCCAGACUCCUACGGGAGGCAGCAGUGGGGAAUAUUGGACAAUGGGCGAAAGCCUGAUCCAGCAAUGCCGCGUGAGUGAUGAAGGCCUUAGGGUUGUAAAGCUCUUUUACCCGGGAUGAUAAUGACAGUACCGGGAGAAUAAGCUCCGGCUAACUCCGUG